rnacentral:lncRNA from 1 species
GCCCACCAGAGCUAACAUAAUCACGUCUCGGAGGAGAGGCCUCGACUGAGUUCUCGGAAAAUGGUCACCAGAGUCGACAAUUUCUAGAGGAACAUCAUGUCGUUACGGAACAUCCGUAGGACAUAAUAUAUCCAAGAGAAACCUCGUCUGGGUGUGGUUCUUCACGAACGACUUGGCGUAGCAACAUGCCACGCAAGCCUCAUGAACAUCCACUCUAAAAUCUGUGUGUACACUCAAGCCUGGGUAAUGGGCUUACCUCUCAUAGAACACCCCACCCCAACAAACAGAUAAACAGCAGCAGAUACAGCAAACAUAUGUACAUGAAUGCAAUAAGGUAAAGCAGAUAAAUGCUGAAAAUAAAUAACUGUACAAAAGAAUAAACACCCAAUAAACAAG